rfam:Asian citrus Psyllid, Diaphorina citri - Florida Strain, whole genome shotgun sequence.
AGCGGUAGCACAUUGAAUGUACCAGUUCCCAAUAGAUAACUGAAGUUAAGCAACGUUACUUAUGGUUCGUAUCCGGCUGGGUGACCAUCUGUGCAAUCUGUUUUCUUUUC